AGGGGGAAGCCGGUGCGAACCCGGCACUGGACCCCAGCCGUGAACCGUCCGCCCGACGGCAGCCGGAACGCCC
rnacentral:ncRNA from 2 species